AGAGAAUAAAAAGAAACUUCAGUGCUUCAAUCUGAUUUGUUAGUUCCAUAUAGUUGAGGAUCUGUUUGAUAGUACACGACAUCACCAAUGUCACUCACAUAAUGAUCCUUUCUCAUGCUUUUUAUGAGUAUCCCAAGUAAAUAAAAUGGUAAAGGCCCAGAUUUCUUUGGCUCCCUGUAGUAUUUCCCGAGCACUGGCUUUGCUGCUUCGGUCUGUAAUUCAUAUAACAUUUUCUUUAGUAUGUGGAAAACCUAAAACAUAACUGAUGCAGGAAAAUAAGAUGAUGAUGAUGAUACUCACAGCUUCAAUCAAGUGAUAAUGUGGGAUUUGAGGGAAGAGAUGAUGUAUAACAUGAGUUCCGAUAUCGUGGUGGAUGUUGUUAAUCCAUCCAUAAUCCCGAUCAAGCGUCGUAAGCCCUCCUCUCAGGUAACUCCACUCCUGGUUAGUAAAACACAGAGAAGUUUCAAUUGUUAUACCAUACAUAACAUGGAUGGUUUCUUGGUGAAGAAGAAUAAACAUUAUCCCGAACCUUUCCUCGAUACCAUGGAAGCUUCUCGUCAUGACCAUGGUGAUGUAGGUAUGUCACCAAAUCCAACCACAUCACAAAUAUCUGCCAUUUUAUAUGUGAGUCCAUUAUAUCAGACCAGAAAUAUGAAUUUUUUUUGUAAAAGUACCAUUAAGGACCACUGUACUGAGAGUUAGAUUGCAUUUUACUCCAUUCACUCAAAAAAUGGGCAAAUUGGUCCCUGUAUGUUAGACUAAAGAGCAAACUUGGCCUUUCUGGUAAAAAUUUCGUUCAUUUUUAUUGUUAAAAACUAACGUAGAUAAAAUUUUAACAGAAGGACCAGUUUGCUUAUUUUAAAUAGAAGGGGUAAAAUGCAAUUCGAUUUCUAAUCUAAAGGCCUUCGUAGUACUUUUACCGAAAUUGUUUUGAAGAAAUAUAUGUAGGAACUGAAGCAUGUACCGCAUAAGGGAUGCCGUAGAGUUUAAGCAAUGCAUUGGUCCCAUUGCAAACGACAAAUAUGCAAGCAAGCCAACCAUUGCUGUCCAACAAGCAGUUGAG
rnacentral:lncRNA from 1 species